CAAAAUAUGUAAUUGUUUAUUUUCAGAGAUUUUAAGUAGUAUAGAUCAUGAUGUAGAUUUUUAGUAUGGACAUCAUUUUUUAAAUUUUGGACUUGAAAGGACUAGUCCAUCUCUCUCUAUGAAAAUCCAAAACAAGCAGCCCUCGUUGUAGCUCACUGAAUUCCACCAAAUUGACACCGCAUAAAAGGGGAGGAGAGCGUGCAGGACCAAGGGGAUGCCAUUGGGGAAGGACCACUGCAAUAAACAAUUCCAGCACACGCCUACCACCCGAAAGCGCCGUCCGGCCAGCACGCCCGCAUCCUCUGGUGCGACUCACUCAAAGGUCCUACUAGCUUUUUAUCAUCCGGUGCCUCAGUGUCUUUCUCUCUCAGACGCAUAUCCACAAACAGCCCUACUGCAUGCAUUCUGUAUGACCUCGUUUAUAAUGUAUGGGGAGCAGCAGAGCCACAUGGUGGCGGGCCUCUUCUUCAACCCGAUGGGAGCUUGGCCAAAGCAGUCCAUCACCAUUUCAUCCGCACGGGAACUUGCAACUACGGAGAUGCAUGUAAAUAUUUUCAUCCAAAGCAGGAUGUCGCAAAUCCAACUCCAGCAGUCUCUGAUGAGUUGCUGACGACAGACAUAUCAUCCUUGUUGUUGUUUGAGUGUAUGCAUCAUCUACUGAAUAUUCAUUGAAGUGGUUGACAUUAUUAAUUGCUGUAGGAAAAAAAAUAGGACUUUUAUGGUGUGGUUGUGCUUCUGAUAAUAGUUUAAACAAACAUGUUUAGUUCCAUCAAAGCCAUACUUGUGGUAGAAAAAACAACCAUACCUGAUAUUUACUCUUCACAACAUUUCA